GUCCACGCCGUAAACGAUGGGUGCUAGGUGUGGGCGGUGUCGACUCCGCCCGUGCCGAAGCUAACGCAUUAAGCACCCCGCCUGGGGGAGUACGGCCGCAAGGCUAAAACUCAAAGGAAUUGACGGGGGCCCGCACAAGCAGCGGAGCAUGUGGUUUAAUUCGACGCAACGCGAAGAACCUUACCAGGGCUUGACAUGCACGGGAAUGUCGUAGAAAUACGGCAGCCCUUCGGGGCUCGUGCACAGGUGGUGCAUGGCUGUCGU
rnacentral:rRNA from 1 species